rnacentral:lncRNA from 1 species
UUGCAACGCAUAACCAAAAACUAAAUUUGGUGUUCCACACAUGUCACAUGCACAAUGAAAAUUGAAGUCACAUUUUGAUCUUGAAGCAUAUAAAAACAACAUUUUUAACUAGCCAUUAUUUUAAGUUUCGAAAAAUGUUAAACACUUCCUUUGUUUUCCCGCUAAUAACCAAACCCAAAAUUUGAUUUUUUUUUUCUCCUUAUUUUAAAUGGUAAUCUCAAAGAAAUGAUUGAUGGAUGAAAGCCUUACAAGGCUAUAGGAACACGGUCACUUUUGAAGGCAUCACAUAUGUACCUUGGUUCACGGAUAUAUGGGGAAGAACACUUGACAUGCAUUGGCUAUCAAUUUUGUCCCUUCCCACUACAUUAAACCAAGCUCGAAGCACAACCCCAACCAACCAUAUUCACUCUCUAUAUUUGUCUCCAUCUUAAAUUACAUGCAUACCAUCCGAUUCCCACAACUCCAACUUCUCACCACCCUUCAUCAAUAAAUUUCCACCUACCCUUCUCAACCAAACCCCACUCCUCUUAUAAAUGGCCCUUACUUUUUGCUUUGGUACUUUAUAAACUUACAUUUGAUUCCUCUUUUUGAUUACUAUCUAACUUUUUUCUUUUCCUCAUCCGAACUCAACCUACACUAUUACCCCUUUAUUUUGUUCCCGUCCUUCAUCACUCCAAGUGUUUCUCUUGUUGUUAUCUUACUUUCUUCUUACUUCUCCAUACACCUAACAUCUUCUUCUUCCUCAACAUAUCUCGACCUUGUUUUGUCCGUCACUUUGUGCUUCCCACUAAGCCUCAUUUUGUGCUUGAGGACAAGCACUACUCUAAGUUUGGUAUGGUAGAAUCGGCAAUUGCUCAUAGACAUUCUCAUGGCCUCAUCCUCUAAUGCCAAAAGCAAAAAAGGAGAGCAACCGAUUGAG